rnacentral:rRNA from 1 species
CAGUCGUACCGACGAGAAAUCAACUUAUCGUGUGCGAACUUGUGGGCGUGCGUGAGUUUCGGCCUCGCUGUUUGCAUGUUUGUGCGCUUUGGGUGUACUUUUUCGUAUGGUAGGCCAACGUCAGUUUCGAUUAUCAUAAAAUGACCGGCGGAAUGUAGCUUCGAUUUCGGUUGAAGUGUUAUAGCCUCUGGUAGAUGUGGUGAUUGGGACUGAGGAUUGCAACGAAUAUCCUUUGGGCUAUCCGUCUGACCUCUGAAAGUUGCUCAGGUGCCGAAAGCGUGCUUACGGUCAUCUAAGAUAACGUUCAACUGGCUAGAACGUGAUUACAUUCGUUAAGGACGUUGGCGUAAUGGCUUUAAACGA